rnacentral:rRNA from 1 species
UACGUAGGGGGCAAGCGUUGUCCGGAUUUAUUGGGCGUAAAGAGCGUGUAGGCGGUUCGGCAGGUCCGUUGUGAAAACUCGAGGCUCAACCUCGAGACGCCGAUGGAAACCCUCGAACUAGAGUCCGGAAGAGGAGAGUGGAAUUCCUGGUGUAGCGGUGAAGUGCGCAGAUAUCAGGAAGAACACCCGUGGCUAAGGCGGCUCUCUAGUACGGUACUGACGCUGAGACGCGAAAGCGUGGGGAGCGAACAGG